GGGUGAGUAACGCGUGGGAAGCUACCUUGUGGUAGGGAACAACAGUUGGAAACGACUGCUAAUACCCUAUGAGCCCUAUGGGGGAAAGAUUUAUCGCCAUGAGAUGUGCCCGCGUUAGAUUAGCUAGUUGGUAAGGUAAUGGCUUACCAAGGCGACGAUCUAUAGCUGGUCUGAGAGGAUGAUCAGCCACACUGGGACUGAGACACGGCCCAGACUCCUACGGGAGGCAGCAGUGGGGAAUAUUGGACAAUGGGGGCAACCCUGAUCCAGCCAUGCCGCGUGUGUGAUGACGGCCUUAGGGUUGUAAAGCACUUUCAGCAGUGAAGAUAAUGACAUUAACUGCAGAAGAAGCCCCGGCUAACUUCGUGCCAGCAGCCGCGGUAAUACGAAGGGGGCUAGCGUUGUUCGGAAUCACUGGGCGUAAAGCGUACGUAGGCGGGCUGAUAAGUUAGGGGUGAAAUCCCGGGGCUCAACCCCGGAACUGCCUUUGAUACUGUCAGUCUUGAGAUCGAGAGAGGUGAGUGGAACUCCGAGUGUAGAGGUGAAAUUCGU
rnacentral:rRNA from 1 species